CGGCAAUCGACAGCUCCCAGCGCACCACUGUGACCCCCUACCCCCCCCCCUUCAUCCUCCCCUCGGACCAGAUCCGAUGCGCGCAUCCUACAGUGGCCACGCGCCACCCUCCGACGGCUAGGGUUUCGACCUCCUUGUCGCGGGAAAGGCUCCUCUGGUUGUUAGCUGUCGUGACAUGGAUGGAUCCCCGGUGUGGCAGCAAGAGCCUCCCUCCUCUAACCUCCAUCGAUGGCCAUGACGAGGUUUGGUUCGAUUCGAUCUGGGAUACGCAGCGGCAACGGCAGCAGCAGACCGUGAACCCCCUCCCCCGAACUGGCCCUCCCACCGGCCACCGCGCAGCCGCCGGCCCCCACUGUCUGCUAAGGUUGAGGACACUGGGCCUGAACCACGGACGCCCUGAGCUGCCGGACCCGGAUCAAGGACACCGUCCUUGUCUCCUCCGACUCGAACUAGGGCACCGCUGCUCCCGUCUCCAGUCCCUCGUCUCCUCCUGCACUAGUUGUCCCCGCUUCCAGUGCCGGUCCUGGCCUCGUGGGUGGUGGCCUUGUGGUUCCUUUCAUUUCUAUAAUCAAUUUAGUUAGAGUGAGAAGCAUCAGGAGGAGCUCAAGCACGACCACUAAGUGGCACCACCGCAGCAGUAGGUAGCACGUCCAUAUCCACCUCCCUCUCCCUCUGCUCCCAAUCCGUUUUAUUAGAAUAUACUGAGUACAUUCUGAACCCCCUGAUGUGACACAAGUAUAUGCACAUGCUAUGGUUUAAGUGUUGCUUGUGUAUGGUAAAUAGGUUGAGCACCCACCACUGUUUGAUGCUAUUUUGUUUAGGAUUCUGUUCCUCUAUGCAUGUGAUCUCCAGACCAUGAUCAAGCAUACACACAUGGUUGAUUU